UCUCUAUUAUGAUGGGAUUGGGGGCAUACGUUUGUCAUUAAAACUUUCUGACUCUAGCCAAACACCUAUAGAGAUUGGAUUGGAUCUGGAGAAAUUGUUGCAGAAGGUUAUUUUAUUUCAAGUGACCCAAAGGAUGAGGUUCACCAUGUUCCUCUUGGGCCUAGUGCUAUGAAAGUGGGGAUAGAUCUUGUGAGAAAGAAUGAUGCAUUUCUGUGGAGGCCUUCAACAGUUAUGUCUACUAUAGAAGAUGCUAUAGCUAAGCAAAUGGACUCACAACAAAGACAAGUGCACAAAGGAUGAUGAAUUGAAGGAUGGAGCAAGUUUCAUUUACUUUUGUGUAUCUUGUAAUGUUUCUAUUUUUCAUUUUUGAAGUAAAAAUUGUUCAAGAUUAUAAAACUUUAUUAUGUUAUGCUUUCAAACUUAAGUUAGAAC